UAGGGAAUAUUGGGCAAUGGGCGAGAGCCUGACCCAGCCAUGCCGCGUGCAGGACGAAGGCUUUCUGAGUCGUAAACUGCUUUUGCCAGGGAAGAAAAAGGGGCGUGCGCGCUCCACUGACGGUACCUGGUGAAUAAGCACCGGCUAACUCCGUGCCAGCAGCCGCGGUAAUACGGAGGGUGCAAGCGUUGUCCGGAUUUAUUGGGUUUAAAGGGUGCGUAGGCGGCCGUUUAAGUCUGGGGUGAAAGCCCGUUGCUCAACAACGGAACUGCCCUGGAAACUGGACGGCUUGAGUACAGACGAGGGUGGCGGAAUGGAUGGUGUAGCGGUGAAAUGCAUAGAUACCAUCCAGAACCCCGAUUGCGAAGGCAGCUGCCUAGACUGUAACUGACGCUGAGGCACGAAAGCGUGGGGAGCGAACAGG
rnacentral:rRNA from 1 species